UGGAUGUCCCAGUAAGGGGCCAUAAUGCUGCAGCUGUCCACUUUUGGGUGGUACCUGCAUAUUGUACAAAACCAUCUGUAAAACAGGCCCAGGUCUUCUCUUCCUCUGUCAGCUGACCAUAGAGCACUCCCCAUGAGGUGCAGGCUGGGAGAGAGAAGGCAGUGUAGCAGGAGUGGGCACCAUGGAAUUUUAGCCACUUCUUCAUGUAACUUACUUAUGCUUUCAGGGCCUACUCAGGCCCAGUCACAUAUAUACCACUUCCACUUGAUGAUGGAGUGUUUCUGUGCACACUUAACUUUAUGGCUUAGUCAGCCAGAUAACACCUGGUUUAUGAUGGGCAGCUCAGGUCACAUGGUAACUUGGUGGCCUAUGGUUAAGCAUUCAGUCUCUACAAAGGCCCGAUAGCAGGGCACGAGCUCAUUCUCAAAAGGGGAGUAGUUAUCUGCAGAGGAUGGCAGGGCUUUGCUCCAAACCCAAAGGGCCUGCACUGCGAUUCAGCUAUAGGAGCCUGCCUAAGACUCCAAACAGCAUCCCUAUCUGCCACUGAUACUUCCAGAAUCAUCGCAUCUGCUGGAUCACAUGGCCCAAGUGGCAGCACCAUUUGCACAACAGCCUGGACUGUUGCAGAGGCUUCUCUUGUUCUGGGCCCCACCCAAAACUAGCAGCUUUUGAGUCACUCAGCAAACGGGCCUGAGUAACUCACCCCAGGAGGAAUAUGUUGCCUCUAAAAUCCAAAAAGGCCCACUACAUAUUGUAUUUCUUUUUUGGUUGUAGGAGUGUCUAGAGGCAACAACUUAUUCCUCACCUUAGAAGGGGUAUCUCGAUGUGCUCCUCAUCUCUGGACCCCUAGAAAUUUCACUGAGGUAGAAGGCUCUUGAUUUUGGUUGGAUUUAUUUCCCACACUUUGAUAUGCAAAUGUAUUACCAAUAAGUCUAGAGCAAUUGUUACGUCUUGUUCACUAGGUCCAAUAAGCAUAAUGUCAUCAGUGUCAUGGACCAUUGUGAUAUUUUGUGGAUGGGAAAGAUGAUCAAGAUCAUAGUAGAUUAUGACAUAGGGCUUGAGAGUUGAUAAACCCCCAAGGUAGGACAGUGAAGGUGUAUUGCUGGCCUUGCCAGCUGAAAGCAAACUGCUUCUGAUGGGUGUUAUGGACAAGGAUGGGGAAAAAGGCAUUUACCAGAUCAAUAGCUGCUUACCAGGUACCAGGGGAUGUUUUAAUUUGCUUAAACAAUGAAGUCACAUCUGUUAUAGCAGCUGCAGUUGGAGCUACCAUCUGGUUAAACUUGGAAUAAUCCACUGUCAUUCUCCAGGAUCCAUCCGUCUUCUGCACAGGCUGAACAGGUCACAUCAUGGACUAUUAGUGCUCUCUUUACUACUGGGAGUGCAGUCACGUAGCCACAAGGAAUUAAUUCUCUAACAGCCAGUGAGCUUGGAAGAGGAUUGCAACCCUCAGAUGAGCAUCACAGCCCUACUGACACCUUGAAACCCUUCCAGCCUUGUAAAAUUCUGACCCCCUAAGACUGUGAGAUAGUAAAUUUGUGUUGUUUUACAAGCCAGCCCUGAUUGCCUAGUGCUUAAAUUUUGGUGUGCUCCAUUUCGGCGGCCCAGGUUCACUUCCUGGGCACAGAAGCACACCACCAGUCCGUCAGUAGCCAUGCUGUGGUGGCAGCUCACAUAGAAGAACUAGAAGGACUUAGAACUAGAAUAUACAACUAGGUACUUGGGGAGGGAAAAAAAAAAAAGAGAGGGAGACUGGCAACAGAUGUGAGCUCAGGGCUAAUCUUUUCCAGCAAGAAAAAAAAAUUGUGUUGUUUUAAGCCACUAAGUUAGUGGUAAUUUAAUCUAUUGCACAGAAG
rnacentral:lncRNA from 1 species